rnacentral:rRNA from 1 species
AACGAACGCUGGCGGCAGGCUUAACACAUGCAAGUCGAGCGCCCCGCAAGGGGAGCGGCAGACGGGUGAGUAACACGUGGGAAUCUACCCAACCCUAGGGGAUAACACAGAGAAAUUUGUGCUAAUACCCUAUACGUCCUUCGGGAGAAAGAUUUAUCGGGGAUGGAUGAGCCCGCGUUGGAUUAGCUAGUUGGUGGGGUAAUGGCCUACCAAGGCGACGAUCCAUAGCUGGUCUGAGAGGAUGAUCAGCCACACGGGGACUGAGACACGGCCCAGACUCCUACGGGAGGCAGCAGUGGGGAGUAUUGGACAAUGGGCGAAAGCCUGAUCCAGCCAUGCCGCGUGAGUGAUGACGGCCCUAGGGUUGUAAAGCUCUUUCGCAGGUGAAGAUAAUGACGGUAACCUGAGAAGAAGCCCCGGCUAACUUCGUGCCAGCCGCCGCCGUAACAC